rnacentral:lncRNA from 1 species
UAAAUGGGAUUGUUGCAUUAAAAAAAUUUCUACUCAUAUGCUCCUAAGUUAAUUAGAAGAUAGGGUGUGCCUGUAUCUGCCUUUUAAUUCUGUUCAAUUUUUAUUAAUGAAUUAUACUAGUUAAGUUUAUUUUCUUUUGUUUGGGUGUUUUGAGAAUGACUUGGUUUUGUUUAUUCCAGCUCUUGCAUUGCUUAGCAUUGACAGUGUGCUUUGCCUGUCAGUGAGUCUCCUGCAUUUACUGAGGUCAUGCAUUAUAGCUGCAAAGUGGGUUUGCCAAGACCAGCAGCAGCCUUGUGCAGAAGAAUUUCCAUGCUCUUCUACUCUGAUAAGAAGCAAUAGAAUUAUUACCUCUUUGUAACUAAAAAUGACAUGAUUUUCAUAAAGCCACCUAUCUUAACAUCUCCACAUUGCCAUAUUGUCAUGAUCUGGAAUAUUGCCUAGAUAGGGCUUCUUUCCAAGUCCUUGACUUAUUUCCUGUGCAUAAAAAGGAACUGGGACAAAGCACCCUAUUGAUUAUGAAGCUCAGAAUAGAAAAUACUGUAUCAUAUAAGGUUAUGUUGUAAUACAGUAUGCUUGGUAAGAAUUUGAGAACAUUGCUUUAACUCCAUGGCAAGCUGUUUUGUAUAGCUCUGUUCAGAAGCAUUUAUACUCUGUGGAAUGAAUCAGUUUCUAAAUCAUAGCUGACUCUGGUUUCUGCUAUUUGUAUUUGUGAUAGGAGCAGUUGUUUAAGGGGAGAAUUUCAAAUUAUUUGAAAUACUGCUUUGAUAAACAUCAAAAUUCAAGAACUGGAGGCACAGAAGCAUAUUUAAGAGCUAAAUAGGAAACAGUUAAAAUUUAUCUGCAAAGUGAUCGCUAAAUGGAAAUCAAAAAGGUCAGCAGCAAUGCACUCUAGGGAAUCAAGAUUCACACACUAAGAGAGCUGCAGGUGCUGUGCUGGACAGUGAAACAUAAUGUUUUUAAUUAAAUCAUGGGCCUUCCUGAGGGAAUAUUGCAUUAAAAUCCAAGUGAAUCUGACAUAAUGGCAAGAUCUACAUUCCUGGUUCUUACUCAAGUCAUUACAUUAGUCUGCCAAUUAGAUCAGGAGGGAGGCAUUUCAAAUUACAGCAGCAAUUUUACAGAGUAGAUAAUUAUGUCAAGUUAUGAAUGACAGAUAUUACUGCAGCUAGUUGAUUUUUUUUUUAAUGUUUUUUAACCCCCCCACCUCUUUUCAUUUUUCCUUUUCCCUUCUUCCAUAAUGCUUUUUUUUUUUAUUUGAGGAUUCCUAGCAUCAAAUGUUAUAUAGCAUUUUGACUACCAUUUAAUUCUUGUUACUUUAUUAAAAAAUGCAAAAAAAAAUAAAAAUGCAAACUUCAGUCA